GUGGUGGCUCAGUGGUAGAGCGCUUGCCUAGCAUGUGUGAGGCCCUGGGUUCGAUUCUCAGCACCACA
rnacentral:tRNA from 1 species